rnacentral:tRNA from 1 species
GGAGAGGUGUCCCGGAGUGGCUUAUCGGGGCUCGCCGUGCGCGAGCGGGGUGACACCCACGCAGGUUCGAAUCCUGCCCUCUCCGC